rnacentral:rRNA from 1 species
UACAGAGGUCUCAAGCGUUGUUCGGAUUCAUUGGCGUAAAGGGUGCGUAGGCGGCGCGGUAAGUCGGGUGUGAAAUCUCGGAGCUUAACUCCGAAACUGCAUUCGAUACUGCCGUGCUUGAGGACUGGAGAGGAGACUGGAAUUUACGGUGUAGCGGUGAAAUGCGUAGAUAUCGUAAGGAAGACCAGUGGCGAAGGCGGGUCUCUGGACAGUUCCUGACGCUGAGGCACGAAGGCCAGGGGAGCAAACGGG